GAUGAACGCUGGCGGCGUGCUUAACACAUGCAAGUCGAGCGAUGAAGUUUCCUUCGGGAAACGGAUUAGCGGCGGACGGGUGAGUAACACGUGGGUAACCUGCCUCAUAGAGUGGAAUAGCCUUCCGAAAGGAAGAUUAAUACCGCAUAACGUUAAAAGAUGGCAUCAUCAUUUAACCAAAGGAGCAAUCCGCUAUGAGAUGGACCCGCGGCGCAUUAGCUAGUUGGUGGGGUAACGGCCUACCAAGGCGACGAUGCGUAGCCGACCUGAGAGGGUGAUCGGCCACAUUGGGACUGAGACACGGCCCAGACUCCUACGGGAGGCAGCAGUGGGGAAUAUUGCACAAUGGGGGAAACCCUGAUGCAGCAACGCCGCGUGAGUGAUGAAGGUUUUCGGAUCGUAAAGCUCUGUCUUUGGGGAAGAUAAUGACGKWCCCCAAGGAG
rnacentral:rRNA from 1 species